rnacentral:sRNA from 1 species
GAUGGAAAGACCUCCAGGCUGACUUCUGGCUCUACAAGGUACUAUUGUAGCUCAUCAUGCUUCUCAGACAGACAAUGAACGCGUGCUGCCACAGGGAGCAAGUGGAUUGUAUGACCAACUCAACUAAUGAUGUGCGUGAUUGGAAGCGAAACGAUGAGCAGCAGGUGAAUCAGCAUU